GACGAACGCUGGCGGCAGGCCUAACACAUGCAAGUAGAGCGGAGCGGCGGACGGGUGAGUAAUGCCUAGGAAUCUGCAUGGUAGUGGGGGAUAACGUACGGAAACGGGCGCUAAUACCGCAUACUAUCAGAUGAGCCUAGUUCGGAUUAGCUAGUUGGUGGGGUAAAGGCCUACCAAGGCGACGAUCCGUAACUGGUCUGAGAGGAUGAUAAGUAACACUGGAACUGAGACACGGUCCAGACGCCUACGGGAGGCAUCAGUGGGGAAUAUUGGACAAUGGGCGAAAGCCUGAUCCAGCCAUGCCGCGUGUGUGAAGAAGGUCUUCGGAUUGUAAAGCACUUUAAGUUGGGAGGCGUUACCAACAGAAGAAGCACCGGCUAACUUCGUGCCAGCAGCCGCGGUAAUAC
rnacentral:rRNA from 1 species